rnacentral:rRNA from 1 species
CGAACGGGUGAGUAAUGCUUCGGAAUCUGCCCAAUGGUGGGGAAUAACCAGCCGAAAGGUUGGCUAAUACCGCAUAAGUCCUACGGGAGAAAGCAGGGGAUCGCAAGACCUUGCGCCGAUGGAUGAGCCGAAGCCGGAUUAGCUAGUUGGUAGGGUAACGGCCUACCAAGGCGACGAUCCGUAGCUGGUCUGAGAGGACGACCAGCCACACUGGGACUGAGACACGGCCCAG